rnacentral:rRNA from 1 species
GUCUCCAGCCAUACCACCCUGAAUGCACCCAAUCUUGCCGAUCUCAGAAGUUAAUCAGUGUUGGGUCUGAUUAGUUGUUGGGUGGGAGAAAGCAAAGCCAUCUUACUGUACUAAUCAGGGCUUGAGUAA